AGAAAGUCAGAAGAAUGAACGUUCCAGGAUUGUUAUUACCAGAAAUGCAAUGAUUUAGUAAAUCUCACCUGUUCUCGGAGUAUCUGGCGCAAUGUAUCUACAGCAUCGGCUUUCUUGGUAUGCAUAAGUAUACACACCCUUCAAAGACCCCAUUGAACUGGCACUUGCACUGUUUUCCUCCAGGAUGAAGGUCGAUGACUCCGAUUCUGGAUAAUAAUGAAGACAGAACAUCUCCAGCGACGCCAGCUCGUUCUGAGAGCAGCCGGAAGGAGGCCAUUACAAGGCGAAGCGAGGCGUCAUCCGACAACCACCCACCCGCUGUCUGGCGACUUCCUAAACAGACAGGACAUGCGAGGCAGCGCCAAGGAACCCGAAACACAGAAACCAAGAUAUGUAUCACCGGGCGCCAGGGUGGAACACACUGCUGCUGGACUGCGAGGAAAUUGAGAAUUUGCCGGAGACGGUGCGCGCCCGCCAGACACACAGAUGGGCUCUGCCGCUGGAUCGGUGGCACUCGGCUGAAUCCUUAUCCACAGUAUCACUUCACGAUAGGUUACAUAAGGUGACACAGUCAUACACAAUGAUAAAGCCGUAGCAAUGAUGGGGUCCUUGGGGUUGGCGUUACCCCCAUACGUUUUGCAUGAGCUUGAAACUGCUUUGUUUUCUUACAUGGUGGAACAGCAAGUCCCAGCAUCUCCUGACCAGGGAUGAGAAGG